rnacentral:piRNA from 1 species
UAGAACUGAGAGACAGAGAGCCUCAAGGUUC